AGAGUUUGAUCCUGGCUCAGGAUGAACGCUAGCGACAGGCCUAACACAUGCAAGUCGAGGGGCAGCGGGGAGGUAGCAAUACCUUUGCCGGCGACCGGCGCACGGGUGAGUAACACGUAUGCAAUCCACCUGUAACAGGGGGAUAACCCGGAGAAAUCCGGACUAAUACCCCAUAAUAUGGGCGCUCCGCAUGGAGAGUUCAUUAAAGAAAGCAAUUUUGGUUACAGACGAGCAUGCGCUCCAUUAGCCAGUUGGCGGGGUAACGGCCCACCAAAGCGACGAUGGAUAGGGGUUCUGAGAGGAAGGUCCCCCACAUUGGAACUGAGACACGGUCCAAACUCCUACGGGAGGCAGCAGUGAGGAAUAUUGGUCAAUGGUCGGCAGACUGAACCAGCCAAGUCGCGUGAGGGAAGACGGCCCUACGGGUUGUAAACCUCUUUUGUCGGAGAGUAAAGUACGCUACGCGUAGCGUAUUGCAAGUAUCCGAAGAAAAAGCAUCGGCUAACUCCGUGCCAGCAGCCGCGGUAAUACGGAGGAUGCGAGCGUUAUCCGGAUUUAUUGGGUUUAAAGGGUGCGUAGGCGGCACGCCAAGUCAGCGGUGAAAUUUCCGGGCUCAACCCGGACUGUGCCGUUGAAACUGGCGAGCUAGAGUACACAAGAGGCAGGCGGAAUGCGUGGUGUAGCGGUGAAAUGCAUAGAUAUCACGCAGAACCCCGAUUGCGAAGGCAGCCUGCUAGGGUGAAACAGACGCUGAGGCACGAAAGCGUGGGUAUCGAACAGGAUUAGAUACCCUGGUAGUCCACGCAGUAAACGAUGAAUACUAACUGUUUGCGAUACAAUGUAAGCGGUACAGCGAAAGCGUUAAGUAUUCCACCUGGGGAGUACGCCGGCAACGGUGAAACUCAAAGGAAUUGAC
rnacentral:rRNA from 1 species